GGUUUAUGCUGUGUGACCACCGCCACCUCCACAACUCUUCAUUACACAGGGUCUUCCCACACUGACCAUCACUAUUCAGACUAAAAUAGAGUUCCUAAGAAAUACUGCGACACAGUUUUUGCUCCUUUCUUCCACUGCCUGUUGCGGGAAGUCAGGGACCCCAAACGGAGGGACCGGCUGAAGCCAUGACAGAAGAAGGUGGAUUGUGAAGAUUUCAUGGACAUUUAUUAGUUCCCCCAAUUAAUACUUUUGUAAUUUCUUAUGCCUGUCUUUACUGCAAUCUCUAAACAUAAAUUGUGAAGAUUUCACGGACACUUAUCACUUCCCCAAUCAAUACCACUGUGAUUUCCUAUGCCUGUCUUUACUUUAAUCUCUUAAUCCUGUCAGCUGAGGAGGAUGUAUGUUGUCUCAGGACCCUGUGAUAAUUGCGUUAACUGCACAAAUUGUAGAGCAUGUGUGUUUGAACAAUAUGAAAUCUGGGCACCUUGAAAAACGAACAGGAUAACAGCAAUGUUUAGGGAACAAAUUCCAACCGCCGGUGAGCCGGGUGGAACAGAGCCAUAUUUCUCUUCUUUCAAAAGCAAAUGGGAGAAAUAUUGCUGAAUUCUUUUUCUCAGCAAGGAACAUCCCUGAGAAAGAGAAUACGCCCCUGAGUGUGGGUCUCUAAAAUGGCCCCCUUGGGUGUGGCCGUUUUCUAUGGUCGAAACUGUAGGGAUGAAAUAAACCCCAGUCUCCCAUAGCGCUCCCAGGCUUAUUAGGAAGAGGAAAUUCCCACCUAAUAAAUUUUGGUCAGACCGGUUGCUCUCAAACCCUGUCUCCUGAUAAGAUGUUAUCAAUGACAAUGGUGCCCGAAACUUCAUUUGCAAUUUUAAUUUCGCCCCAGUCCUGUGGUCCUGUGAUCUCGCCCUGCCUCCAUUUGCCUUGUGAUAUUCUAUUACCUUGUGAAGUACGUGAUCUCUGUGAACCACACCUAUUUGUACACUCCCUCCCCUUUUGAAAAUCCCUAAUAAAAUCUUGCUUGUUUUGCGGCUUGUGGGGCAUCACGGAACCUACCGACAUGUGUUGUCUCCCCCGGACACCCAGCUUUAAAAUUUCUCUCUUUUGUACUCUGUCCCUUUAUUUCUCAACCCAGCUGAUGCUUAGGGAAAAUAGAAAAGAACCUACGUGACUAUCAGGGCAGGUUCCCUGAUAACUGUCCAAUCUCUCCACCUCACCACUUACCUCACCUCUACCCUCUACCCACCACCUCAAAUGGAAGAGCCAUGGGAUAAUCUGAUUAGAGCAUUAGGAAGAGGGACUGAGCAUGGAUGGAUAGCACAGUCUCUCAUAGAGCCUGCCUUCCUGUAUCCAAGAGAAAACUGUUCCUGGCAGAAAGACCAGCAAGGAUAGUCUCUGAAAUGGGAGGAAGCUGAAAGAUUUGAGAAACAAUCGGGAGGCCAGCAUGGCUGCAGCAAAAACCAACGGGACAUGAGUAGGCACUGAAGUCAGCAAAUGAAUGCUUUGUCUCUGCAGAUUGAAUGGACUUUGGCUUUCCACACCCCAACCCCCACCACCACCCAGCGACUUGGAACACCAUCACAGUUUUUUUUUAAUUAUUUUUAAUUGAAAAUAAUUGUAAAUAUUUAUCUUAUAAAACAUAAUAUUUUGAAAGAUGCAUGCAUAGUGAAUGGGCUUAACUGUGCUAAUUAACAUAUACAUUAUUUAACAUAUUUAUUUUUUGUGAUGAAAAUAUUUAAAAUCUACUCCUUUGGCAAUUUUCAGGAAUACAGUACAUUUUUGUUUAUUGUAGUUAUCAUGUUGUCCAAUAGAUCACUUGAACAUUUCCCCUCCUAUCUAACUGAAAUUUUUUGUUCUUUGACCAAAGACUCCCACCCCACUCCAGCCUCUGGUAACCACCAUUUUACUGUCUGCUUCUGUGAGUUGAACUUUUUCAGAUACCACAUAUAAGUAAUGUCAGCCAUCACGAUUUUGAGGAGGGGAGCGACAGGGUGAGAUUUACACCUCACCAAGCUCACUCUGGUUGCUAGAUUGGGCUUAGUAUUACAAGUCAGAGGUAAUGAAAGAUUCACCCAGGUGAAGGUAAAGAGAUAAGGAGAUAAGAGACAAGAAGUGGUCAAAUUCUGUAUAUAGAAAUAAAAGGGAGAGUUUUCAGAAUUUUCUAUGUUUUGAAAGUAGGUCCCUUUUACCUUUCUCUUGCUUCCAGAUUGUAUCACAGACCAUUAGGUUAAACAAAUUAUCCAUUCACAUUCAAAGAUAAUGCAAAGGCAACAUUCAGGAUUCCAGAUAUUUUUCACUUUUUUUCUGCAGUCACUGAGGUUUUAUGUGACUAGUCUUAUGUAUUAGUUGGUUCCAUCACCCCACUUCCCCUCCCACCCACCCCCAUCCACACACAGCACAACAAUGAAAAAAAAAAUCUGUUUGCCAGCAUAGAACUGUGAAGCAGUAACUCACAUCUAAUAACCAUGGAAGCCUAAUGACACCAAAAAGGUCUGAAGGGGAUCCUCAAAGGAUUGCAAAUUGGUAUGAACAUGUAUUUCCCAGUAGGAACGUCAUGUUAUUUAGUUUUACAUACAAUUAUCUGCAUUUCUCAGUGUUAAAGACUUUGAAAUAUAAAAUAAAUCAUGGCUCAAAUGUAUAGGCCUGUAUUAGAUCUCAAAGGAUAUAAAACUUCUACUAUAAACGUGGUAGAAAUGUUAUCUUGUAUCUACCUCUGUCCACCCUUCUACCUCCUAAAUUACAGUGAGCAAUUGGAUCUGCCAGGGGUAAGAAACGAAAGCAUUUGUGCUUGAAGGGUUCUGGUUGCCUAAGACAGACAAGACAUGAGUAGGCUUUCAGUACUGCAUAUUUCUGUGGCUUCCCAUGACAAUCUGUAGAGCAAACAACAACUAUGACACUACAGUGUUCUGGAAAUUGGUUAGAUUAGAGAAAAAACAAAACUCUUUAGGUUUCAAAUUAAUUACCUACAUAUAUUCUGUGCAUCCCAUUUUUCAGAUGAAAAGAGGUAGAGGAUAAAUAAUCUACCCUGGAUCACACGGUCAGUUUGUAACAGUAAGAAUCCUUAAUUCCUGUUUUUUUUUUUCUUCCUCACAAUUGAAUACUGUUUUCACGAUGACAUAAUGUACAGCCUUAACCAGAGGAAAGGAUUUCAAUACUAUAUGUGCUUCUGUGUUUAAUAGUCUAUAGUAUAAUAUAGAAUUAUGCCAUUUUGAAAUGGCUUUGGUGUAUCACCACACCGUUCUUUUAUAUAAAAUUAAAUGAAAUACUGGUAAAUUAAAGAGGUAUUAGGUUGGUGCAAAAGUAACCGCAGUUUUUUUUUUUUUUUGCCAUACUUUUAAUGGCAAAAACCACAAUUACUUUUGCACCAACAUAAUAGUACAGCAGUGUUUAAGAGUAUGACAUUUACAUUUAAAUCUCAGAAGCUUACUUACUGCAUACAUGACAUUGGUCUAGUUAUUUCAACUCUGUAUGUUUUAAGUUGUUUUUCUUCUAUAAAACAGAGAAAUUAAUGGCAUUUACGUCACAUUUGGCUAUGAGGAUGAACUAAAUAAAAACAUGUAAAUCAUUUAAUAUAGUCUCUGUGCAUAGAAUGCAUUAAAUAAUGUUAAUAAUAUUAUUAUGAAGUUCAUUCUACUGAGCUGACAAUGAGAAACACCCUUUAUUACAUUAAUAUUAGUUUUAUUCUACACAUAGAUAUUUUGUGUUGAAGAAAAGCAACUUUUAAAGUCAGAAAAUAAGGCAAUACAUGGCAAAAUGCUUAGAAGCUAAUGUGUGUCCUAGAGGUGUUGAGGUUUGUUGUAUUAUAAAUAAUACUGUUCACAUUAUCCCUCCUG
rnacentral:lncRNA from 10 species